GCCCGAUUGGCGAAAUCAGUAGACGCAACGGGCUCAAAACUUGUGGCUUCGGCAUACAGGUUCGAGCCUUGUAUCGGGCGCCA
rnacentral:tRNA from 1 species